AUUGGCAGAUCAGUGCACUAAGUUUAAGCCUUAGAAACAAAUUAUAAUCAUUCUAAUA
rnacentral:tRNA from 1 species